rnacentral:tRNA from 1 species
GUAAAUGUAGUUUAACGGUAGAACAUCCAUAUAAAUUGGAAGGAAUGGGUUCGACUCCCAGCCAUUACACCA